rnacentral:rRNA from 1 species
UACAGAGGGUGCGAGCGUUAAUCGGAUUUACUGGGCGUAAAGCGCGCGUAGGCGGCUCUUUAAGUCGGAUGUGAAAUCCCCGAGCUUAACUUGGGAAUUGCAUUCGAUACUGGGGGGCUAGAGUAUAGGAGAGGAUGGUAGAAUUCCAGGUGUAGCGGUGAAAUGCGUAGAGAUCUGGAGGAAUACCGAUGGCGAAGGCAGCCAUCUGGCCUAAUACUGACGCUGAGGUGCGAAAGCAUGGGGAGCAAACAGG